rnacentral:rRNA from 1 species
GUUGACCUCGGAUCAGGUAGGGAUACCCGCUGAACUUAAGCAUAUCAAAAGGCCGGAGGAAA